UGUGGGAGCGGGCUUGCCCGCGAUGGCGUUGGGUCAGUCCCAUUAAUACUGACUGGGCUGACGCUAUCGCGGGCAAGCCCGCUCCCACA
rnacentral:antisense_RNA from 1 species